AUGGUUGGAAAAAUACCCACUCUGCUCCAAUUGAGUGGCGACAUAAGGCCCAUUGUUAUCACUAAUGAUGCAGGGUUUCAACAGUUGCAGGUGCUUGCGCUCAACUCCGGUGUCACAGGGUUAACGUUUCAAGCAGGUGCCAUGCCAAAUCUCAAGAAGAUUCCAAUGCAGAUUCAUCUAAGUCAGUUCAAGUCAGCACGUGGUGAUGGUGUUUUGGAUGAUUUUGGCUUCCAACACCUCUCUAGUCUUGCUCUGUUGGAUAUAGAGAUGGAUUGCCGUGACUCGAGAGCUUCAAAUGUGGAGGCUGCAGAGGAUGCUGUCAAGAGCAUGGCGGAAGCGCACCCCAAACACCACACACUUAAAAUGAAGAGAGUGUGUGCAGAACAGAUGCUGCAUGAUGAUUGA
rnacentral:rRNA from 1 species